GUUGAACGCUGGCGGCGUGCCUAAUACAUGCAAGUCGAGCGAACAGACGAGGAGCUUGCUCCUCUGACGUUAGCGGCGGACGGGUGAGUAACACGUGGAUAACCUACCUAUAAGACUGGGAUAACUUCGGGAAACCGGAGCUAAUACCGGAUAAUAUAUUGAACCGCAUGGUUCAAUAGUGAAAGACGGUUUUGCUGUCACUUAUAGAUGGAUCCGCGCCGCAUUAGCUAGUUGGUAAGGUAACGGCUUACCAAGGCAACGAUGCGUAGCCGACCUGAGAGGAUGAUCGGCCACACUGGAACUGAGACACGGCCCAGACUCCUACGGGAGGCAGCAGUAGGGAAUCUUCCACAAUGGGCGAAAGCCUGACGGAGCAACGCCGCGUGAGUGAUGAAGGUCUUCGGAUCGUAAACCUCUGUUAUUAGGGAAGAACAAAUGUGUAAGUAACUAUGCACGUCUUGACGGUACCUAAUCAAAAAGCCACGGCUAACUACGUG
rnacentral:rRNA from 1 species